rnacentral:lncRNA from 1 species
AAAUUUUUAAGUAAGAUUAAUAGUUUAAUCAAUAGAUAUUGGGAUUUUAAUCUACUUUAGGAUUGGUUUGAAUUGAUUAGGGUUUGUCUUAGAUUUGGUUUAGGAUUUAAGGUUUGUCAAGGAUUUGAUUGAAAAUCUAGAAUUUUUCUAGGAUUUGGUUUAAAAUUUAGUUAGGAUUUGACCUAGAAUUUAGUUAAGAUCCA